CCCUUCCUCCCGAGUUCUGUACAUCUGCCAGGGCACCUGCCCUUCACCAUUUGCCCAGCCUCUUUGACUGCCAUCUGCCUUCCUGCUGAGAUUUCCACCUAGGGCUUGCCAGUACAUUCCCCUCAUACUCUGUUCCGCUUGGCUGCCUGAAUUUACACCGCCUUUUGAUGAGUCUUUGCUCAAAUUCCAGUCACACUCUAAUUGAUUGGUUUAGAUUUUGGGUUCUGGCUGUCCUCAUCCGCUCCCAUAACUGAGUGAAAUGAGGCUGCAUGUGAAACCUAGACGGGCUGCGGACUGGGAAAGUUUGUCUGGGAGACUUGGCGCUUAACCGCUCGAAGGAUGUGGAGCAGAAGGAAAAGGGGAACUGAGUGUGUGAGGCCAUCUUUCUAUAGUUACACGUCUGAUAUGAGGAAUGGCCAUGGGGACCCAGCUAAUGAAGUGACUCUAUGCUCAGCUCUCCAGCCGUGGCUGGCUGCUGUUGCUCCUUAAGCCUCCUUCCUGGAAAUAGGAACCACUUCAUCGCGUAUCGCAGGCUUGGGAAGAUUUCAGCCAGGAGGACAUGGGAUGGCCGAGGACACCGAGAUGAUGGGACAUCUCAGAAGAUGUCAGAAGAUGCCAGGGAGACAAGACCUGCUCCCAGGACUGUUACAGAGGAAACGAGCUGUGUUUGUCAAUUCACUGUCAAAUAAAAUGCCCUUCUUAGAGCAGUGGCAGAAUUUCUAGUUUCCAAUUUGUAUAUAUGUUCAAAUUUAAUUAAGAGACAUUUAGACUCUUCAGUUAAACAACUUCAGGCAAAGACUGUAGGCUGUGCAUCAUUGUGUUAGAGGGCCCAGUUUUGUUUAUUGGAAAUUUUAAUCUGACUAGAUACUUUGCCCUUUAAAUUUAUUUUUAUUUUGGGGAUAAGGUUUCAGUUUGUAGUCCUGGCUUUCCUGAAGCUCACUGAGUAGACUAGGCUCGCCUGGAACUAACAGGGAUCCUUCUGCUGCUGCUUCCUGAGUGCUCGGAUUAAAGCAUAAGUUACCAUGCUCAGCAGAUGCCUUGCAUUUUAGCUAGGUAUUUUAAACUUACAGUACAGUGAAGGUUACUUGAGUCAACAAAGAAAAGGAAGGCCUUUUUUGGUCUUAUUGGGCAUGUGCUUUCGGAAGAGAAAGGUAGGACUAUGUUUCUUAGCUUGAGUAUGUGUGUUUGACAUAGAGCCAGUAAAAAAUGACGAAUCUGUCUUCCUUCUUGGAGCCUGCCAGUGGGACACCCCCCCAACCAUAUUUGAGAUGCUGUAAUAUGGGUUAACAGUGAAAAUAGGAAGGCAAACCUUAUUUAAUAACUAAA